rnacentral:rRNA from 1 species
CUUCGGGGUGGAUUAGUGGCGAACGGGUGAGUAACACGUGGGCAAUCUGCCCUGCACUCUGGGACAAGCCCUGGAAACGGGGUCUAAUACCGGAUGACACUUUCUCUCGCAUGGGAGAAGGUUGAAAGCUCCGGCGGUGCAGGAUGAGCCCGCGGCCUAUCAGCUAGUUGGUGAGGUAGAAGCUCACCAAGGCGACGACGGGUAGCCGGCCUGAGAGGGCGACCGGCCACACUGGGACUGAGACACGGCCCAGACUCCUACGGGAGGCAGCAGUGGGGAAUAUUGCACAAUGGGCGAAAGCCUGAUGCAGCGACGCCGCGUGAGGGAUGACGGCCUUCGGGUUGUAAACCUCUUUCAGCAGGGAAGAAGCGCAAGUGACGGUACCUGCAGAAGAAGCGCCGGCUAACUACGUGCCAGCAGCCGCGGUAAUACGUAGGGCGCAAGCGUUGUCCGGAAUUAUUGGGCGUAAAGAGCUCGUAGGCGGCUUGUCACGUCGGUUGUGAAAGCCCGGGGCUUAACCCCGGGUCUGCAGUCGAUACGGGCAGGCUAGAGUGUGGUAGGGGAGAUCGGAAUUCCUGGUGUAGCGGUGAAAUGCGCAGAUAUCAGGAGGAACACCGGUGGCGAAGGCGGAUCUCUGGGCCAUUACUGACGCUGAGGAGC